rnacentral:lncRNA from 1 species
AAACAUUCUCUCUCUCUCUCAAUCUUUCACGAGUUUUUGCUCAGAACGUGAAACAUUCUAUUUGCUCUUACUACUGUAAUACUUGCUUUAUCCUAGAAGCACUCUAGAUUACAAACCUUGUUUUUAUCUAAGCUGUUUUAUAUUUCCUCAAGUGACUCUGCGCAGUCUGCAUACUUGAGAGGACUAAGAGAUCUUUCUCUUAGACGUUGGUUGUAAUAAUCUUUCAAGAUUAGUGGAUUAAGUCCUUAUUGAAGGCGAAAUCACCUUGGCCGGGUGGACUGGAGUAGCUUUGUGUUAUAAGCGAACCAGUAUAAAUUCCUUGUGUGGUCUUUGUCUGAAAAAGCGCUUAUUUUCCAAA